rnacentral:rRNA from 1 species
UACGAAGGGUGCAAGCGUUACUCGGAAUUACUGGGCGUAAAGCGUGCGUAGGUGGUUUGUUAAGUCUGUUGUGAAAGCCCCGGGCUCAACCUGGGAAUGGCAAUGGAUACUGGCAAGCUAGAGUGCGGUAGAGGGUAGUGGAAUUCCACGUGUAGCGGUGAAAUGCGUAGAGAUGUGGAGGAACACCAGUGGCGAAGGCGACUCUUUGGGACGGUACUAACGCUGAGACGCGAAAGCGUGGGGAGCGAACAGG